GAGGCAUGUGCACGCCCUGCUCAUCCACUCUACACCUGUGCACUUACUGUGGGUUUCAGACGGUGUAGCGAGCCUUUACGGGUUCGUGAAAGCGUCUGUGCCUGCGUUUAUUACAAACUCUUACAAGUAAAUGAAUGUGUAUUGCGAUAUAACGCAUCUAUAUACAACUUUCAGCAACGGAUCUCUUGGCUCUCGCAUCGAUGAAGAACGCAGCGAAAUGCGAUAAGUAAUGUGAAUUGCAGAAUUCAGUGAAUCAUCGAAUCUUUGAACGCACCUUGCGCUCCUUGGUAUUCCGAGGAGCAUGCCUGUUUGAGUGUCAUGAAAUCUUCAACCUAUAAACCUUUGCGGGUUUGUAGGCUUGGAUUUGGAGGCUUGUCGGCCUAACGGUCGGCUCCUCUUAAAUGCAUUAGCUUGAUUCCUUGCGGAUCGGCUCUCGGUGUGAUAAUUGUCUACGCCGCGACCGUGAAGCGUUUGGCGAGCUUCUAAUCGUCUCUUAUGAGACAACACAUUGACCUCUGACCUCA
rnacentral:sRNA from 1 species